UACGUAGGGGGCAAGCGUUGUCCGGAUUUAUUGGGCGUAAAGAGCUCGUAGGCGGUGUGUCACGUCGGCCGUGAAAACCUGCAGCUUAACUGUGGGCGUGCGGUCGAUACGGGCAUCACUGGAGUUCGGCAGGGGAGACUGGAAUUCCCGGUGUAGCGGUGAAAUGCGCAGAUAUCGGGAGGAACACCAGUAGCGAAGGCGGCUCGCUGGGCCACACCUGACGCUGAGACGCGAAAGCUAGGGGAGCGAACAGG
rnacentral:rRNA from 1 species